AUUAUUAGUUGGUAUGUUGAGUUUAACUGUUAGAAAUAUAUAUUCUUAAUUUUCGGUGAUAAAUAAAGUGUCUAGAAUACCUCACAUGAAUCUUAAAUGUCAGCAAUCUAUAUUAUUUUCGGUGAUAGUGAAUAUUAUAGUGAAGCUUAUAUUAUUUUUACAUUGAAAGAUUGUUCAAAUGUAUUGAAAUUUUAUAAUAUUUAAAUUUGAUUGUACAAAUUUAUCAAUGCAUAUAUAUCAUCAAUUUUUUUAGAUAUGUCUUCUGCGGUUAUGCAACAUCACGGAGGUGAUGGUGGGGCAAAUCCUCCUCCAGAUCCAACGCAGAUACAGGCUGAUUGUGAGAGAGUGACGACUAAAACGAAAAGGCGCGGCAUCAACAAGGGGUUUUCAACUCGAGAAGCUAGAGUUGCAUUAGGUAGACCACUACCACUGGAGUGGGAUGUUCGAGGGAAGACUUACAAAGAAAUUGGUGAUUAUUCCCAACAUUUCUCUAGAGAGAUCGGCAUUCUCAUUCGACAAUAUGCCGAUCUUGACUACGACCGAUGGGAUAAAGUACCCAGCGAAGUUAGAGAUCGCAUACUUCCUCGUCUAGAGGUAAUUUAUUUCUAUAAUUUUUUUAUUGGGUUCACUUUAAUAUUAAAUCUAGCUAAUUUAUUUUAUUUUUUUGAUUCAGGAUGAUUUAUUCGACAUUGGUCGAAGUCGAUAUGCCUCAGAGAACCUCCUCGGCAUUCUUUUGGGCAUUCAACGGUCGUGCGCUGAUCGUUACUCGGAGUGGAAGAAUGACUUGUCCACUCAUUUAAAAAAGAAUGGUCGAGCACAUCCUCUUGAUGGUUUGGUGGUGGAGAAAUGGCAAAAGGCGCUCCAGUAUUUUGAUCGCCCUGAAGUGAAGGUAUUCACAAAAAUAUUAUUUUUUAAUUUAUUUUUGUUAAUUUAACAUAUGGUUAACACAAGUUCUUUGCAGAGGCGUUUUGAGACUAACUCUGCGAACCGUGCAAAACAAAAACAGAGAAGCGUGCAGGGUUCACAGUCUACGCCAGCCCUUCGUUACAAGAAGAGAUUUGGAUGGCGACUAAGUACAUAGACGGGGAAGGUUGGGUGAGCAAGGCAGCGAAAGAUAACUAUGUAAGUAAAUUUAUAUUUUAUGAUUUUCUUACUUUAUUGUGUUGUAAAUUCUAAUAUUCUUGAAAAUUGUGUGAUACAGGAAAAGAUGAUAGAGAUACGUGACACUCUGCAGUCACAAUCAUCUACGAGCGCCUCUGCCUCGAGUACUAUCCCGAGAGAAGAUGAUGACAUUAUUCUUGUUGAGACGAUCUUUGGACGUCAUCGAGGCUAUCAGCCGGGUCUUGGUCGCAGGAUUCGCACGAGGGCGAAUUGUGAAGCGGCUGAGGUACCUCAACCAGCCCAACCACCUCCUACCGCACAAGACAUGCAAGAGGUGAGGGAGCGACUCCGAGCCAUAAAGGAGCACUUGGCUAGGAUUGGUGGAGUCUCGGGAUCUGGAUCUUCUCAGCAAGGUCAUGGUGCCGAUCCUACAACACCUAGUUAAAAAUAUUUAUAUUUAUGUAUUUUAAUUUUACUAUGAUAGUUACUUUGUUAUAAAAAUAUUUAUAGUAAAAAUAUAAUUUUGUGCAUGAUUAAAUUUCUCUUCUAUUUCAAAUCUUUUAGCAAAAAAAUGUGUUAGUAUAUAUAUUGAAUAAUGGCAUUUUUUUAAGUAUAUAUAAUAGUGCUUUAGGCAUAAAAAAAAAGAAAAAAAAAGACUUUUAGCCACAAUAUGUUGUCGCAAAAAAGUAACAUGUCGUCGCUAAAUACCUAAAUAAUUUCAAAAAUCAGAGGACAUUCCUAACUAACAGCGACGAAAAAGUGGAUCUUUUAGCGACCACAUGUCGUUGCUAAAGGGAAAUAGCGACGACAUUUUUCAUUUCGUCGCUAAUUAAAACCAAUUAGCGACCAGCAUUUAGCAACGACAAAUAGCGAUGACAUGGUAGUCGCUAAAGGAAUUAGCGACUAUA